GGGAUUUUUUAAAAUUUUCAAAGUUGUGGUUGCUACUUCUGGCUCUUCUGGGAAUAUGCAUCCAGGCUGCCUUGAAGUUAGCAGAACUGAAGAAGAAAAGUUGAAGCAGAGACUGUAACAAAACAAAUGGACUCACACCAGUCUCAACUCUGCCCCUGAACACAGCAGUUCCUUAAGAGUACUGCUCUCCUUCAGCAACGUACAGGGGCAGAAAACAGACUGAACGGGAAAGCCCUGAGAAACACUGGUCAAGGGACUCCCUCCCUGAUUGUUGAGUUAGGACCCAAUAAAUGUGCAUCCAGAGGUAAGUGGGGCCAGAUUGCAGAAUUGCCAUCAGCCAGUGCAGGCUCUCUGUCCCCCAUCUUUGCCUUUCCUCAUGGCAGAGUUUCCUGAUGUUAUCCUGCCCCUGUUCCACCUCUGUGUAUUGGAGGGAAACAUCAUU